AAAUAAGCUACUAAGAGCGUUCGGUGGAUGCCUUGGCAUUAGGAGGCGAUGAAGGACGCGGCAAGCUGCGAUAUGCUUCGGGGAGCUGCUUAGCAAGCUUUGAUCCGGAGAUUUCCGAAUGGGGAAACCCACACAUUCGUGUGUACCUUUAGGUGAAUACAUAGCCUACUGGAGCUAACCUCGGGAACUGAAACAUCUAAGUACCGAGAGGAAAAGAAAUCAUAUGAGAUUCCCCAAGUAGCGGCGAGCGAACGGGGAUCAGGCCAAACCUGGAGGUUUACCUUCAGGGGUUGUAGGGCCAGUUACAAGGAUGAAUAGGAUAGGCGAAGGGUCUGGAAAGUCCUGCUAUAGAGCGUGAUAGUCGCGUAGCCGAAAUCUGAAAACAUCUGACUGGUUCCUGAGUAGGGCGGGGCACGUGAAACCCUGUCUGAAUCCGGGAGGACCAUCUCCCAAGCCUAAAUACUACCUAAUGACCGAUAGUGAAUCAGUACCGUGAGGGAAAGGUGAAAAGAACCCCGUUGAGGGGAGUGAAAUAGAUCCUGAAACCGAGCGCUUACAAGCAGUCGGAGCGAAAGUGACGGCGUGCCUUUUGCAUAAUGAGCUAGCGAGUUAACGUCACAGGCAAGGUUAAGCUAUUAAGUAGCGCAGCCGUAGCGAAAGCGAGUCCGAAGCGGCGUUUAGUCCGUGGCGUUAGACCCGAAACUGAGUGAUCUAUCCAUGAGCAGGUUGAAGCUGGGGUAAUUCCUAGUGGAGGACCGAACACGUGAAUGUUGAAAAAUUCUGUGAUGACUUGUGGAUAGGGGUGAAAGGCUAAUCAAACUCAGUGAUAGCUGGUUCUCGCCGAAAUAUAUUUAGGUAUAGCCUCGGCCGUUUCUUACAGGGGGUAGAGCACUGAAUGGGCUAGGGGUCUCACCAGAUUACCAAACCCUAUCAAACUCCGAAUACCUGUACAGUUAGGCCGGGAGACAGACUGCGAGUGAGAAGAUUCGCGGUCGAGAGGGAAAGAGCCCAGACCACCAACUAAGGUCCCAAAGACUACACUAAGUGGAAAACGUUGUGGGAGUGCAUAGACAGCCAGGAUGUUGGCUUAGAAGCAGCCAUCAUUUAAAGAAAGCGUAACAGCUCACUGGUCAAGUGCUCCUGCGCGGAAGAUGUAACGGGGCUCAAGUGUGGCACCGAAGUUGUGGACUCGAAAGAGUGGUAGGCGAGUAUUGUGGUAGCCUGUGAAGAUGUGUCGCGAGGCAUGUUGGAGGUCCCACAAGAGCUCAUGCUAGCAUAAGUAGCGUACAAGGCAGGUGAAAAACCUGCCCGCCGGAAGUCCAAGGUUUCCUGGGCCAGGGUAAUCCUCCCAGGGUUAGUCGGUACCUAAGGUGAGGCCGAAAGGCGUAAUCGAUGGAAAACUGAUUAAUAUUUCAGUACCAGUCAUGUGGAGUGAUGCAGGGGGAGAGGAAGGUAGUUACGCUGGGCGUCGGUUGUCCCAGUGCAAGGUCGUAGGCAGAUCACUUAGUCAAGUACGGGUGGUUAAUGCCGAGAACUGAUGCGGAGCCGCAAGGCGGAAGGUAAUGAUCCUAUGCUCGCAAGAAAAGCUGCUAAACGUUGAUACAUGCUGACCGUACCCCAAACCGACUCAGGUGGACAAGGAGAGAAUCCUAAGGCGAUUGAGUGAAACUGAGGCCAAGGAACUCGGCAAAUUGAUACCGUAACUUCGGGAUAAGGUAUGCCUCUCAGGUGAAGGACUUCGCGUCCGUAGCUAUGAGGGGUCGCAGAGAAGAGGGAGAAGCGACUGUUUAUCAAAAACACAGCACUUUGCAAAAUCGUAAGAUGACGUAUAAGGUGUGACGCCUGCCCGGUGCUGGAAGGUUAAAAGGAGGGGUUAGCGCAAGCAAAGCCUCGAAUUGAAGCCCCAGUAAACGGCGGCCGUAACUAUAACGGUCCUAAGGUAGCGAAAUUCCUUGUCGGGUAAGUUCCGACCUGCACGAAUGGCGUAACGACUUCUCCGC
rnacentral:rRNA from 1 species